AGGCGAUGAAAGACGUAGUAACUUGCGAUAAGCCCAGAUUAGGUAGUAACAACCAUUUGAGUCUGGGAUUUCUGAAUGGGGAAACCCACUUACAUAAGUAAGUAUCAUUAAUUGAAUACAUAGGUUAAUGAGGCGAACCGGGGGAACUGAAACAUCUAAGUACCCCGAGGAAAAGAAAUCAACCGAGAUUCCGAAAGUAGCGGCGAGCGAAAUUGGACUAGCCCUUAAGCUUUACACGCGUUAGACGAACGGUCUGGAAAGUCCGACGAUACAGGGUGAUAGUCCCGUAGUUGACGACGUGUGUUCAGUGAAAUCGAGUAGGGCGGGACACGUGAUAUCCUGUCUGAAUAUGGGGGGACCAUCCUCCAAGGCUAAAUACUACUGACUGACCGAUAGUGAACCAGUACCGUGAGGGAAAGGCGAAAAGAACCCCUGUGAGGGGAGUGAAAUAGAACCUGAAACCGUGUACGUACAAGCAGUAGGAGCAGGCUUUGUCCUGUGACUGCGUACCUUUUGUAUAAUGGGUCAGCGACUUAUAUUCAGUGGCAAGGUUAACCAUCUAGGGGAGCCGUAGGGAAACCGAGUCUUAACUGGGCGUUCAGUCUCUGGAUAUAGACCCGAAACCAGGUGAUCUAGCCAUGGGCAGGUUGAAGGUUGAGUAACAUCAACUGGAGGACCGAACCGACUAAUGUUGAAAAAUUAGCGGAUGACUUGUGGCUAGGGGUGAAAGGCCAAUCAAACCUGGAGAUAGCUGGUUCUCCCCGAAAGCUAUUUAGGUAGCGCCUCGGACGAAUACUACUGGGGGUAGAGCACUGUUAAGGCUAGGGGUCAUCCCGACUUACCAACCCUUUGCAAACUCCGAAUACCAGUAAGUACUAUCCGGGAGACACACGGCGGGUGCUAACGUCCGUCGUGGAGAGGGAAACAACCCAGACCGCCAGCUAAGGUCCCAAAUUACUACUAAGUGGGAAACGAUGUGGGAAGGCUCAGACAGCCAGGAUGUUGGCUUAGAAGCAGCCAUCAUUUAAAGAAAGCGUAAUAGCUCACUGGUCGAGUCGGCCUGCGCGGAAGAUGUAACGGGGCUAAGUAGUAAACCGAAGCUGCGGCAAUGUGCUUUUGCACAUUGGGUAGGGGAGCGUUCUGUAAGCGGUUGAAGGUGUGUGGUAACGCAUGCUGGACGUAUCAGAAGUGCGAAUGCUGACAUGAGUAACGAUAAAGGGGGUGAAAAACCUCCUCGCCGGAAGACCAAGGGUUCCUGUCCAACGUUAAUCGGGGCAGGGUAAGUCGACCCCUAAGGCGAGGCCGAAAGGCGUAGUCGAUGGGAAACGGGUUAAUAUUCCCGUACUUCUUACAAUUGCGAUGGGGGGACGGAGAAGGCUAGGUGGGCCUGGCGACGGUUGUCCAGGUUCAAGUGCGUAGGCUUAAGAGUUAGGUAAAUCCGGCUCUUUUUAAGGCUGAGACACGACGUCGAGCACCUACGGGUGUGAAGUCAUUGAUGCCAUGCUUCCAGGAAAAGCCUCUAAGCUUCAGAUUGUAAGGAAUCGUACCCCAAACCGACACAGGUGGUCGGGUAGAGAAUACCAAGGCGCUUGAGAGAACUCGGGUGAAGGAACUAGGCAAAAUGGUACCGUAACUUCGGGAGAAGGUACGCUCUCGACGGUGAAGUCCCUCGCGGAUGGAGCUAUUGAGAGUCGCAGAUACCAGGUGGCUGCAACUGUUUAUUAAAAACACAGCACUGUGCAAAAUCGUAAGAUGACGUAUACGGUGUGACGCCUGCCCGGUGCCGGAAGGUUAAUUGAUGGGGUUAGACUUCGGUCGAAGCUCUUGAUCGAAGCCCCGGUAAACGGCGGCCGUAACUAUAACGGUCCUAAGGUAGCGAAAUUCCUUGUCGGGUAAGUUCCGACCUGCACGAAUGGCGUAAUGAUGGCCACGCUGUCUCCACCCGAGACUCAGUGAAAUUGAAAUCGCUGUGAAGAUGCAGUGUACCCGCGGCUAGACGGAAAGACCCCGUGAACCUUUACUACAGCUUGGCACUGAACAUUGACCCUACAUGUGUAGGAUAGGUGGGAGGCUUUGAAGCACGUACGCCAGUAUGUGUGGAGCCGUCCUUGAAAUACCACCCUUGUAGUGUUGAUGUUCUAACGUUGACCCCUUAUCGGGGUUGCGGACAGUGCCUGGUGGGUAGUUUGACUGGGGCGGUCUCCUCCCAAAGAGUAACGGAGGAGCACGAAGGUGGGCUAAUCACGGUUGGACAUCGUGAGGUUAGUGCAAUGGCAUAAGCCCGCUUGACUGCGAGAAUGACAAUUCGAGCAGGUGCGAAAGCAGGUCAUAGUGAUCCGGUGGUUCUGAAUGGAAGGGCCAUCGCUCAACGGAUAAAAGGUACUCCGGGGAUAACAGGCUGAUACCGCCCAAGAGUUCAUAUCGACGGCGGUGUUUGGCACCUCGAUGUCGGCUCAUCACAUCCUGGGGCUGAAGUCGGUCCCAAGGGUAUGGCUGUUCGCCAUUUAAAGUGGUACGCGAGCUGGGUUUAGAACGUCGUGAGACAGUUCGGUCCCUAUCUGCCGUGGGCGUUGGAAGAUUGAAGGGGGCUGCUCCUAGUACGAGAGGACCGGAGUGGACGAACCUCUGGUGUUCGGGUUGUGUCGCCAGACGCAUUGCCCGGUAGCUAAGUUCGGAAUCGAUAACCGCUGAAAGCAUCUAAGCGGGAAGCGAGCCCUGAGAUGAGUCUUCCCUGAUACUUUAAGUAUCCUAAAGGGUUGUCGGAGACUACGACGUUGAUAGGUCAGGUGUGUAAGUGCUGUGAGGCAUUGAGCUAACUGAUACUAAUUGCCCGUGAGGCUUAACCA
rnacentral:rRNA from 1 species